UUAACUCUGGACUUCUUACAAAUUAUAAUUUGUAUUUCUUCCACCAAUGUUCAAAAUGAACUUGAAAACUCCUGUAGUUGCAUUGGGUUAUCUCACUCCAUGAUAAAAUGCUAUAAUGCCCCUGAAUAAAACACAGAAACGGUUCCAGUGAUUGAAAAGAGCUUCCCUCCGGCAAUGAAAACUAUCCUCCUUUUGCAACAUUUCUGUUUAAACUGGAUAUUUAUUUCACACGCCCAAACAGGCAAACAAAAGAUUACGAAUAUGUGAUCCCAGACAGGGGAUCGGGCAGGAUUUUAGUUACUUGCAGUGUUCUGAGACUGAGGUUAGAACCCAGGGGUCGCUUUGCAUUGCACAUUUUGCAAGCUGUUUAGAAAACACCUUUUGUCACUACUGGCUUUUCGGGGUGAAAAGCAAAACCGCUGCAUUUGUUUGCUGCAAAAAUGGACCUGAGAUACUGCCAGAAGAUGUCGCCCUUCCACUGCUGGCGCCGCCCAUUCGCUCCACAAAUCAUAUCAAGGUGAUACCAGUAUUUCAUGUCAGUGUGUAAGGUAAUUAGCGCCGGCUAAAACUAAGGUCUCAACGUGCAAUCUGUUCGUGGCGAUUAAAGACGAGUCCGGGAGAUUGCGCAAGUUAAAAUAAAACUCACCGCCGGGAAAGUAUAAUAUAUCUUCAAACAAAUCAUAAAGACUCUUUUCUGUCAUUGUGGAUGUGAAGAACUUGGAAUGUUUCCUGGUAAUUUUGCAGUGCUUUAAAAUACAUGCUACAUCAGCAUCAUCAUUUAACUGGUAACUAGCUCUCAUUGGGAAAGAAAACAAAGCGGUAUGGAACGUCACAGUUUGUACAAGAUUCUGCAAAUACCGUUUCAUUAAGAAAAGGAAAGACGAAGAAUAUGUAAGAAUUGUGUGACAGCUGCGAGACCCACGACGUGUCAUUUCAACUAGAAUAAUGUGGAAAUAAGCGGCUGUUUUGAAUGAAAUUGACGAGGAAUUGCAUUGGUUGCUCGUGGGGCCGGUGGCGAAGUCAAAACUUGCCAGGAGGACCUUUCAGCUGCAGGGUUUUGUACAUGAAGAUUUUUUGAAAUGAAAGCACCUGGAAGUUUGCGUGCAACCAGUCUGUUGAAAGUAAACCGGAUACAUUCAUGUUCUGAAACAUAGUACCGACGAAAACGCAUGGAAGAUAACUAGUAAGACUGAAGUAUUACAAGAGUCUCAAAUCUGGCUGUUCAGUUUUCUUCCUGGAAUUAGAACAGCAUGAGGCCUGGUCUGCCGAUCUAAGCAAUGCCGUUGGAGACACAGAUGCAUCCUGGUACAGUGGAUGUAAUGCGAUGAAAGAUAUCCUGGCUAACAAAUAGUACGAUGGAAACUAAUUGAAAACAAUAUAGCCCAAACAAGAAGUCUCUCAAAAGGCUUCAACAGCUAUAACACAAUUGAAAAAGAACGGAUAUGGAGUCAAAAAAGCUAUAAGAAACAGACAUACCGAAGAGUGGCUGAAUGUCUGGAGAAGUCAGCAAAUCUGCCUUUCAAAAAUAGUCUUGGACACUACCUUGAGGAAGCCCAGCUGUGAUACCCUAGAAUGGAGAUAUUUGACCCCCAGUCAACACAACCAUUUUAAUUCGUACUGGUGCAAGAGACAAGAUGUCAUGGAGUGGCUGAAGGACAUUCUUCUGGGGCAGAAUAAACAACCAGAGAUCAUAGUCCAUCUUCGUUCCAAUGACUUAGGAAGAUUUUGGAGCCCAUGGCAAAACUCGCAUUUAUUGCCCAUCCCUAAUUGCUCUUGAGAAGGUGAUAAUGAGUCACUUUUUGAACACAACAGAUGACAAGCUUGGACCAUUGAAAAGGAAAAUUAAGAGCCAACCUGGAGUUACAUAAUAGCCACACAUUGAAAUUAUGGCGGAUUUCCUCCCUUAAAGGAUAUUGUUGGAACUAAAUGGCCUGCGUUUUUUAUCCCCUGUAUGUUACCUGCAAUAGUGCUUUUGUAUUUCCUUUCAUGUAAAUAUUUGUGUUCAUAGCAUUUUUGUAAAUGUGCCUCAGUCUGCCUGCAUUCAUAUGUGCAUGUGUAUCCAUGUAUUUGAGAAUGUUUUUGUGCAUAUUGUUACCUCAAAAAAUAUCAUUUUAUAAUCAUCCAGAAUCCCAAGCAUAAAAUCAGUGAUGCAAUGUUGUCAAGACCAAUCCUAUUAAAUUUAGGGUCGAAGUGUUAGGCAUUGGAGGCUUGGUGAAGUUUAAGAUUACUCAGAGACAGAAAUAAUGAUUGCAGGUUUAUCAAAAAUGAAAAUGUUGAAUCUGGAGGAAGGAAAUCUGUAAAUGAAAAUCUAUGACUCUUUAAUAAUAUUUUUAGCUAUUCAUAUCUAAUGUGAUAAAGAGGUGCAUGCAUAUGAUAUCUUUUACAUUGAAGAUUAUACAUAUAGAUCAAAUAAAUUGUGCCAGACAUUAGCUAUCAUUGUGAAAUCUGAUUUACUCUUUACAUCCUUAUCAAGAACACCAACUGCAGGCCAAGACAAAAUUAGUGCCCCAGUUCUAAUGGGGCUAUUUAGAAAAGAAUCUGUGUUAACAAACAUUUCCUAUUGGUUUGUGUGCCUUUGCAGCUCAAUUCCCCAAGUCUAAACAUCCAAUGUAAUUGUCUUAUUCAGAGAUAUUUUCUUUCAGAUGUGCUCUUGAAAUGGGAGUGAAAGCAAGAGAAUGCUAACAUAGAGAAAAUGACCUAACUCAUGUGAAUGGAAAAGGGGAUGUUACAUGCAUAGACCUGAUAUCUCCCACUCAUAUUUUCCUUCUGACAAGAAAAUAAGAGUUUAACACUGAAUCUCAAAAUGCUUAAUAGUCAAAAUAGAGGGAAAGUAGAGACAAUGUGAAUAUGGAAAUGAGAAGCAGACAAAUGGGGCCUGUAAACGUUGAUACAUAAGAAAAGAAUAUAGUCUGGCAGUUCUCUGUGAACUAUAUGCCAAAAAGGAAUUGCUCAAAUGUACUCUCCAUCCAACAUUAACAGAACUUCCAUAGAAAUCAGAAAGUGCUGGAGAAACUCAGGACACCUGACAUUAUGUGGAGAGUUAAUGUUUUGAAUUCAAUAUGACUCUUUUAGAAGAGUCAUAUGGGACUCAUCACGCUGGAUUUGACACAUUAACUCUAUUUCUGUCUCCACAGAUGAUGCCAGUCAUGCUGAGUUUCUCCAAUGUUUUCUGAUAUUUAAUUUAGCUGGGUUUCUUUUUGUUCCAGUGACAUGUAACAUCUUUGAGCGAUUCGCGAAAUUGCGUGUUCUUCUUGCUUCCUCCAGAGGUGACUGUGAUCUCAAAAGCCAAAAAGAACAAGUAGCAAAAAGACAUAGAAGGUAAUUUUGUCAAUAGCACUUGCUUCCUGAUGUCCACUGUCUUGCUAUUUCUUAUCUCAGUUCUGUACUGCUACCUCACAGCACCAGGGACCCGGGUUCAAUUCCACCCUUGGGUGACUGUCUGUGUGGAGUUUGCACAUUCACCCCAUGUCUGUGUGGGUUUCCUUCAGGUGCUCCCACAAUGCAAAGAUGUACAAGCUAGGUGGCUUGGCCGUGCUAAAUCACCCACGGUAGCCAGGGAUGUUUAGGUUAGAUGGGUUGACAUGGGGAUAUGCAGGGGUAGGCAAAUGAGUCGGGGUGGGGUGCUCCUCAGAAGGACAGUGUGGACAAAUUGGGCCGAAAAGCAUAUUUCCACAAUGUAGGGAUUCUAUGAUUCUAAUUGCAAUUAAAAUGUAAAGUCUUAGUUGUAUGCAUGGGAGAUCUGAGGAGUUCUACAGCAGAAGACUUUUAUUGUGGUGAAACCUGCUGUCAGCUGAUAAUACAGCAGGUAUAAAUGGGUUAUAAAAGGUCUCCUGAUCAUGCAUCAAAAACAAAACUUGCAUACCCAAUUGUAACACAGGUAUUUAUCAAAUAUAAAUUUUACUUUAAGAUAUUUCACAUUGUAUUGGCUCCAUAUUAUUCACAUGCACAUCACCAUUAUUUGUUGUGCCUGACUUAGUCGUGAAGCUGACUGAAUUACCACACUUCAUGGUUGGCAUGCAUUGGUAGUUGCAGAGAUAGUAAGAACUGCCGAUGCUGGAGGGACUUUAUGAACUUCAAAAUCUCCCCAUCCCCGACCUCAUCCCAAGACCAACCCUCCCUCUUGUCCCUGCCUCCUUGACCUGUCCAUCUUUUCUCCCAUCUAUCUGCUUCUCCCACUUCACUGACCAAUCCCCUCCCCAACUUCCCACCUACACUCACCCCUACCAGCUUCAUCCCUGUCUCUUUGACCUGUCCAUCUUCCCUCCCACCUACUGGCCCCUCCCUCCUCACUGACCAACCCCCAUCCUAACUCCCUACCUACACUCAUCUUUACUACCUUCAUCCCCACCUCCUUGACCUGUCCUUCUUCUCUCAACCUAUCUGCUCAGGGAUCCACAUUCUAUCAUCGUGACCUCUCACUAUUUACUUCAGAGCCUCCUCCCCCUCCCCCAUUUCUGAAAAGAUGUCCAGACCCGAAACGGCAGCUUUCCUGCUCCUCUGAUGCUGCCUCGCCUGCUCUGUUCAUCCAGCUCCACACCUAAGUAGUUGCAGAGUUGCUGAGAAGAUUUCAUUUUUUUGUUGAAGAAACAAUGUCUAUUUUUUGGUCAUUUUUUAUUGAAUCUUGAUGUUUGUGCCCAGUAUUAUUCUCAUCACUGUGUGGCAUAUUACUGAACUUGCAGUCUCAGUUGGCCCUUCCUUCUACGCAACAUGAAGGAGAUUGUCUAACUUCAUUUUCAGUGUGGAUAAAUGAGCCACUGUAGUUGAACUCAAAACUCUGCAAGGACGCUGUCAGACAGUGCACUGAGAUGGGCACACUGAAAACACUGAAACUGUCCUUUAAACCUCUUAUUUUCUGAUUUUGUCUUAAUGAUACCAUCAUGCUCCACUCCUAACAAUACCCAGGGCACCAGCCCCAUCCUCCUCCAUGCCUUUUGUCCUGCCCUCUACCUUCCCUAGGUUUCAUCCUCCACUCUUCUAUGCCCCUGAUUGCAACCACGCGCACAUGCUAUGACCAUUGACCAAUCCUUACCUUGAUGUGACUGCCAUUCAUCUGUCCCCUUUCCUUGUCCUUUUGAAUUAAACAAGGAAAGCCACUGACCUUAUGUACAAUUGCACAAAGUCAAUGGGUGCAAACUACUUGGAUGACAUAAGAUUCAUAACUUUAUCCUGAAGGACAUUAUUUUUAAAAGUUUCACAGCUCUGAGUGUUCAUGGUAUGUAAAACUAGUAUGAACUCACCACAGGAUAGAGUGAGGCUUGACACACCGCAAACAUGCCAUUUCAUUUUUGCAUCUCAACCUGCUAUCAGGAGACGGUGAUUUUGCACCUCACCAAAUUAAGUCACUCUGCUUGGUAUGAUUUCUACUCUUGCAAGUUCCAUGACAUUCUCCCUGGGGUGGGGAAAAGCUCACAUCAUGAAUACAAAAUGGAAUGGUAGUGAAUUAAUUUCAUUGGAAAAGAAAAUCAGAUUUGAUAUAAAAUGAUCUGCUAAUUCAUAAUGAACCCAUUUUAUGCUUUUGAUAAAGAAAAAUUUCAUCUUUAUAACAAGUAAUUUUUUUAUUAUUACAGUAUGACACUGACUCCACUGGGACAGACAUUCCCUCCACAUCACAUCUACUGCAGUUUAAAUGAAACUGGGUGCUACACCAGAGCAGGGUUUCUUUUAUAACUGCAGGACUUGCACACUUAAAGGAAGCUUUUUGGCACGGUUGUACAAAAAUACGCAGAGAAUUUAUAGAAGGAUAAAAGAUGAGCCCUAUGCCACAGAAUUCCCAGCCAAAAAGUGAGACCGCACAGAGAAAGGCACGAGGCAGAUCACUGGAAAAGACGUCAAAAGGAGAAAUUAAAGGAAGAAGACCUAUCGCGGUAAUUGCUGGUAUUUUCAGGUUGUGGGCAGUGAGAUCUCAGGGAAGUCUUGGGGCUAUAAGCUGCAGUCAAGAGUCAGGUUGGGAUUCAGGGGAAGGUUGAAGAGCUGGUUGGUAUAGUUUUGGUUAAUAAAAAGCUAUCGGGAGCUGAGAACGUCAUGGAAGAUUGAGCAAAGAUAGGGCAAAGGUAACACUUCUAACAAAUGGUAUCAGCUCAGAGUUGCUAAACAAUAGAAGUAUACCAGGGAGCUUGAGCUGGACUGUAGUCUUAAGAAUAAGCAGGAAUGCAGUCCUCAAAAAGGAUAUUGAAUACCUGGAAAGUGACCAAAUGUUGAAGUGGUUUGAAUCGGAGUGGCAUUGAUGGGAAAUUCAAUGGGUACAUGUAAAUAGUUGAAAUCCCUUACGAAAAGACAAAGGUUUAACAAGAUUUUGUGAUUCAAAGUAACAAAUGAUGUCUGAGUGGAUUGGGGACAGAUUCAUGGGAUCUGACUUGAUGAUAUCUGUCAUUUAAUGUGCAAGGUGGUGUGUUUGGUCAAAGUUUGUCUCAUUAUACAUAUGUGCACAUUCUAUUAAUAAAGGAUU